rnacentral:rRNA from 1 species
UUCUGUGAUGCCCUUAGAUGUUCUGGGGCUGCACGCGCGUUACACUGAUGUGUGCAACAAGUAUUGAAAAAAACCUAACCCGAAGGGGUCUGGGCAACCUCCAAACGCACAUCGUGAUGGGGAUUGUGCUUUGUAACUAUCGCACAUGAACGAGGAAUUCCUAGUAAGGGUAAGUCAUCACCUUGCCCUGAUUACGUCCCUGCCCUUUGUACACAC